AUGCCCCAGCUCCCCGAGCCCAGAGAGGUAAGCGUCCCUCUGCGUCUGUUGCCACCGAUUCCUUUUGUUGGGACCAGAAUUCUUCAUAUUUGCCUGCAGAGAAGAAACGCCUGGAGAGACCAAAUUCUCAAGUCCCAGUCUGGACCUACUGCAGCUUUUCCUAGGGCAAGACCUGGUCAUUUGCACGUAUUUCACAAGCGCCGCAGGCUUUUAGGACUUCUGGCUUCCCACUGGGUUUGGUUAAUGGACAGAAGGGAGAAGCCAGAGGAUUCCUUCCCGAACCUCUCUACCUUGGGGGCUGUGGCUGCGUCCGCUCUGUGGCCCCAGAUCCCAGACAGGCCACUGUGGUCUCAUCUUCUGCCAGAGAGAGAGACAGAGCGUGAGUGGGGGAGGAGCAGAGGGAGCGGAGACCCAGAAUCCAA